UGUGGCAUCUAGAAGUUUUCCUGUCUUCCACAUUGGCAUUAUACACCAGAUUUCUAGCUUUCUCCAAAAAUGAAUACUCUACUGAAAAUAAAACAUUUUGGCACCCUUUUUGACAUUGAGAAUGACACGUAUUUUUUAUCACGACUUUUAUGUCGGAUUCAUAUAAGUACUGAAAUCGUCUUUUUGAAUAAAUUACGAUAUAUAAACAGAUAAUGUUAUUGAUACCAUUCUCAUAUUCCUUUUUUGCAUAUGAAAUUAAUUCAAAUACUUCAAAAGAACGAAUAUAAGUUGUUUUCUUAAGAUAAGAUAUGAAAUUGAAAAUAAUAUAUUUAUUCAUAUCAUUCAUAGUAUUACGUAAGAUUGAUACUGACUAAAAUUUCAAAAUCUUAUUUGAGGAAAUAGUAAAAUAACUAAAUUGAUAUUGGAAUGAAUUAACAUAUAGCUAGUACAAUGAAUUGUUAGGGGAGUCUUGUAAUUAAUGAUGCUAGUACGGACACAAUACGUGAUUGGUGCUAAAAGUAUCGUCAUGAAUCCUCGGAGUAGGGCGAGGCUACAUAACUUGAUGCUUCGUUAAAUAUUUAAUAUCGUGUUGAAGCACACUGCUUGUCCGAAGUGUGCCGUUUUCUGAAUUCUGAAUUCGUUACUCAAUACAAAAACAAUUUUUAUUUCCACUUUAACGCGUUUCUUUGGUCUGAGUAAUUAAGAAAGCUUCUUCCUUUUUGGAUACUGUCCUUUUUUGUAUCAUAGCCGAUAGAUCACUACUAAUAUUUUAGUUAAUCUUUCAGCAAAACUUGAUACAAUUUUCUUCUUCUUCCUACUUAAAAAUAACAAAGACACCGUCAAUAAAUACACAUCGUUUACGAACUAACACAUCCGCAACUUCGCAUAAAAAUGAUUUUGUACACACUCAAUAUGCCUAACAAAAGUUGCUCGGAAGUUUUAAUAAAGCUUGGGUAUCGCAUUUUACAAAAAUUUAAUAGAAUUCUAUUGAAUUGGAUCUUAAAUAAUCAAUCAGUAUGAGACUGAUCACAAACAUAUAUUCAUACUUGUGUAUGACUAUUAUGCAUGGUAAAAAGUUCUCAUAAUCAAUAUUGAAUUGUAUAUAAUGAUAUUAGAGAGUAACUAUAACAAAUUACGGAAAUAACCAUAAAAAUGUCACAAAGACAGCAGUUAUUUCAUAACAUGAAUACAUAGGGAAAUUUGCCAACAAAACUGACAAUCUUUAUAUUGUGGAGUGAAUCUAGUUUUGAGAUAAUAAUUCAGAAAUCGACUUUAUUACAGACAUCAACUUCAGAACAUGUAACACGGUGAUGUGGUGGAGAGCCAGGAUCCUCAAUGUAAAUAAACUAAUGUAAAAUAUAGCAUAACGUUAAGCAAUUAGGAAGUGGAUCGUAUUAAGUCAUUGUUGAGUUUUAGCGGCUGUAAAACUCCUUUGUAGGAUAAAACUAAAGUUUUCUCAGUGUUUGUACAAAGAAUGUGAAGCUUGUAUAUCUGGAUCACUUCAGGUUUCUCUGGUGUCCGCAAAUAAACUGAAUUUAUCAUUAAUUCUAAGUCUGUGACAUCAUUAUUGAGUAUCAAAGAAAGAGUUGGCCCUAAAAGUAACCACGAGGGACACCAUUGCCAAUUUGUAAACUACUCGAAACUACCAGAUGUUUUCUACAUUAAAGGAUCUAUGCAAUUUCUGAACAAAUCUGAAUACUUUGGUCGAUACAAAUAGCUAGGCUAUUACAAACAUCCAUUUCCAAAAACCACCAAUUGACUCAGUGAUUUUGUAAAGUGAAUACGUGUGUUAAGUGCAGAGAAUGCGAACUCAGGUAGUCAGGUAUUUAGGAAUUUCAGAUCAAGAUAGGAAAACCAAAAUCCAGGCGUUCAGCCUGAAAAAUAGGGAACCAUGUGAUUCAGGCACUUCAGUAGAAAGAAAUAGGAGAAAGUUUGAAGCAAUAAUAUGGAAAUAGGAACAAGAAAACUAUGGAAAGGUUUGAAGUACAACAAAAAAGCGGAAAAGGGCGAUCGCUCCAGUAACAUAGAUAAUAAAAGAGAGAAGAUUGGAUGCGAGAGCCUUAAAAGUCAAAUAAUGGAAGCCAGAAGAUCUGAAGAAACUGAAGUGAUCAUCAAGAAAAAAUAAGGAGAUAAGAAGAAAAAAAGCCGGAAAGAAGGCCACUUCCAUUCAUAUUAAAGUCCCCACUUGUAUGGACAGCAAUACAGAAGGAGCAAGUGCGGAGGAAAAUCGGUACCCAGCGCAAAACGAGAAUUCACAAGGAGAAAAUCACAACACCAACAAAAGAGAAUUUCAAUAAAACUAAAAUGCUAUUAAGCGAAUAGAAAGAAGAAAUUGAGUGGUAUACUCAACGAAGAAAAAGAUAGGAAGCUAGUCGUGAAAGAACUGGCAGAAAAGACCCCCGCGUCGGACAUUGAAAUACAGCUGAGGGAAAAUGGACUCAAGCCAAAGAGAGUAUAGCAAUUGACGAGCUGUACACAGUAAAACGCGAAAACAGCCGAAAAUUACUACUAAUAUUCAUGGUAAUAUUAGAGCCAGUAGAAGAGCAGUCCUACAACAAAACUGAUAUACCUAUGCCACACAAAGUGUGGUUGAAGAAAAAAUAAACACGACGGACCUGUACAAUGCUACAGGUGCCAAGGCAUCCACCACGGACGUUCACCUCGUGAGAUGCGCGGAAGUCCACAGGGCAGUGGACUCCAUCCUCGGAAAAUUUGAGGAGCCAAGACGUAGAAACUGCGGAGGAGAGCACUCAGCGGGGGUGCCCGAAGAACACCUCAAAAAAUAAACCAGCCACGAUAACACCACAAUCAGGAGGCAGCUAUAGCAGAACAAGGAACGCCUGAGCUAUUGAGUAUGCUGUAGAAUGUGCAGACACUCAUACUCGUAGCAAUACUGAUCGCCCAACAUGUGAUGAAAAAUGAAGAACGACAACAUUAAUAGAUUAAAUUAAGUCAGUAUAUAAUUCAUAAAAUAUACAAAAAGACAUACUAAAAAAAUACAAAAAAAAACAAAUAAAGAACCUUGGUCUUCCAAGGCAACCCACAAGAGGACAACUCUCGACACAGUAACUCCACACGUUAACUCCACACAUAAACAAGUGCCGAGUUUUACAUUAGGGACCGCUGUAAAUGAGGCAAAGGGCCAUUUGGAUUAGAUCCAUUCUUGCCGUACAAGUUUGAAAAGGCUUUACCCAAGACAGCGAAAACACACGAACACAUUGAGAUUUCCAGGCCAAGAAGACAAGAGUGUAUAGCCAACAGGCUAACUUUUAAUGAAAAGAUAUGACUCCCUAAACCUGCCAUAAAACUCAGGGGAUAGAAAGGAGUCCACGCGUGAGCCUGCGAUGCGAACGAGGAUGAGGAUCUGUUGAAAAGACAGGGGGUGGUGGAAUGUCCAUCCCCGCAUCCAUCAGUGGAUUUAUCUUGGGAUUCUUAUGGAAACGGGCUAUCUCACGACCGCAUGUGUGGGUGUGUGCUAUUUCCAAUAUCUACAAUUGUGACCAUUAAAUGUAUCAACAUAAAUGUGGAUUCGUAAAAAAAGACUAUAUUAUUUAUAAUAUGACUAUUUGCAGCUUGCAUUAUGAUUUUUCAAAAUAAAAUUCUGCAAUCAUGAUCAUCUUCAUAUAAUUCUAAUAGGUACUAACGUUACUUUAUACAGAUUCUCUCUAAAUUUGUUGAAGACACAUAAAAUCAUAAUGUAAUUCAAAAUUUCACACAACGUACAAGCACUCUCUCUAGUUACGGUUUCUUGUUGGCCAUUUUUAGCGUAUUUUUUAGAUUUUAUCCUCCAAAAGUGCCGCAAUCAUCCAAAUUGAAGUUUUGUUAAUUUGGUUGUGACUUGAACCGUUAUUGCUCACUAUUAGUGAACAUAGCUCUAAAAUUUGAAAUUACAAUGAACAUAUUGCAACAAAAACAAUGAGAAAUAAUGACAUAUAACAUUUAAACAUAGAUAAUGUCUACUUCAGAGCU